rnacentral:ncRNA from 2 species
GGUUGAAGGAAAGCGCCAGCACUGCGUUUGCCCGACACGGAGCGCAGUGGACGAGGAGGAGGUUUAUCGAAGGUUCGGCGGAUGCCUCCCGGUAGCUGUAUCACUGCCGCGGAGCGCGGGAACAAAACAGCAGGGCGACCUGUUGGACAAAACCCGCGCAUGAUACACG